rnacentral:rRNA from 1 species
AACGCGAAGAACCUUACCUGGGCUCGAACGGCUUUGGAUCGACGGUGGAAACACUGUUUUCCCGCAAGGGACCGGAGUCGAGGUGCUGCAUGGCUGUCGUCAGCUCGUGUCGUGAGAUGUUGGGUUAAGUCCCGCAACGAGCGCAACCCUUGUCCUGUGUUGCCACUCCCGUAAGGGAAGCACUCUCAGGAGACCGCCAGCGAUAAGUUGGAGGAAGGUGGGGAUGAUGUCAAGUCAUCAUGGCCUUUAUGUCCAGGGCUACACACGUGCUACAAUGGUCGGUACAAAGCGCUGCAAACCCGCGAGGGGGAGCUAAUCGCAAAAAGCCGGCCUCAGUUCGGAUUGCAGGCUGCAACUCGCCUGCAUGAAGCUGGAAUCGCUAGUAAUGCCGUAUCAGAACGAUGGCGUGAAUACGUUCCCGGGCCUUGUACACACCGGCUAC